CAAUGUGUGGGAAGGCAGAGGCACAGAAACUCACAUCAAUACCUUUGUCAGAUAACACUGUUAAACAAAGAGGAAACUCUGACUGAACGACUCAAAAACUCCCCAGCUUAUGCUCUCCAAAUGGACGUUAGCUGUGAGGGCCGAGAUGCUCAAGCAUUGACUUUUGUUCACUAUACAUGUCGGGGGAUGCUAUUCACAGGACAUAUUGUUGUGUCUCACGAUUUCCAAGUAUGAAACAGCAUAGGGGAUGUUCAGUGUGCUGCAUGGCUAUAUUGACAAAAACCAUAUUCCAUAUGGGAUCGAAUUAUGGGUUUUUGGGGCUCUAUCCGUCCCGGGAUGGAGGGCAAACCUCUGCACUCCAGUUCUGAAUGUGUCUCCCUCUGCCAUAUGGAUGCAUUGUAUGAUACACCGAGAGCAACUGGGGGCAAAAACGCUGAGCACAGAACUCGGAGAUAUACUGCAACAGAUUCGCACAUCACCCAUGCUCGUCUUCUGAGGUGGAGGGAGGGAGAAUGGAAAGGUAAAGUCCCCCUGGUUCAAGGAAGUUGGAAAAACAAACUCACAAAAGAAUACAUAUGAAGCAAAGAACAGCAUUAGGAGUAGAGAUGGGUGGAUGCCAUGGAAUCGCUGUGUUCCGUCACUUAUGCAAUUCUACCUGGAACUGGGAUGUAAUCCAGCCCUGUGGAGUGGAGGGAAAUGUAUUCCAAAACCUGGGGCUUCUUUCACUGUGUGAGGAAUGAGUUGACAACCCAGACGCCUCAAAUUCCUUUCGGAAUACUUUUUGGGAUUCUCAUUGGAAUUGCCUAUUACAGAGGAACACCCUUGGAUGGUUUCGAUGAAAUGUUGUGGGUUUCGUAAUAAAGCUCCACUCUCCCUUAACGAUCGGUCACAUGCCAAAGGAAUACAAUAAGAGAAGGCGAUACAGUGUUUUGUUUUCCUCCCCGAGGGCCUUGGAAGUGUUAGCACACAUCGAUGUCACGUCGAUGCACCAAUAUCAAACGGUUGUUCGGUGAUCUCUAGGGCGCUUUAUAAUCUUUAUAAUCCUCUCUCGCUCUCUUUCUCUCUCUCUCUCCCUCUCUCUCUCUCUACCACUCUCUCUCUCUACCACUCUCUCUCUCCCGCCGUCUAUAUGGACAACUGAAUAGUAUACUCAACAAUUAUGAGAUCAAAUGCAUCCAUUUUGGAUGACGGUGGAAAAAUAUAUAAUUAUUUGGCCAAAAACAUGGGCUCUCAAGAUGAGGUCAAAAGAAGCACCUGGUUUGGUUUGAUUACAUGAAGCUACAGCACAAGCAAUGCAUUGUGGUUAGAUGGUGAAAUGGUGAGUUAGGUUUCAUUCUGACACAAACUUUACAGAGAGGAAACUGACCCUAUUGUAUACCACUUGCCGAUGGAACACGGAUCAAAUACUCGUUUUCCCCUUACUGUUGACUGUGUAUGUAUUUGUAUGUGAGAUACACCUUCAAUCUUCUCUGAUUUGAUACCCAUAUUUCCUUUGAAUUAUGAAGCAACAAUAAGAAAAAAACGUGAGAUGGAAUUUUAUGCUUUCAUAGGUAAAAUAUGUGGAUUUAUAAAGAAAUAAAAUUAUUUUUCUUGAAGACAUUA